GACGAACGCUGGCGGCGUGCUUAACACAUGCAAGUCGAACGGAAAGGCCCUGCUUUUGUGGGGUGCUCGAGUAGCGAACGGGUGAGUAACACGUGAGUAACCUGUCACUGACUUUGGGAUAACUUCAGGAAACUGGGGCUAAUACCGGAUAGGAGCUCCUGCUGCAUGGUGGGGGUUGGAAAGUUUCGGUGGUUGGGGAUGGACUCGCGGCUUAUCAGCUUGUUGGGGGGGUAGUGGCUUACCAAGGCUUUGACGGGUAGCCGGCCUGGGCGGGUGACCGGCCACAUUGGGACUGGGAUACGGCCCAGCCCCCUCCGGGAGGCAGCAGGGGGGAAUAUUGCACAAUGGGCGGAAGCCGGAGCCAGCAAGGCCGCGGGCGGGAUAACGGCCUCCGGUUGGUAAACCGCUUUCGCCUGCGACGAGGCGUGAGUGACGGUAAUGGGUAAAGAAGCACCGGCUAACUACGUG
rnacentral:rRNA from 1 species